AUGUACAUUCCUACAAAGUUAAUGUAACAUAUCCCAUUAUAAAUCCAUAGUUAAAUGUGCUUUUACUAGUGUAGUAAUGGGAUGGGUGACCUCCCAAGAAGUACUAGUGUUUUACAUG
rnacentral:rRNA from 1 species